rnacentral:lncRNA from 1 species
CAAAAAUCUAUAUAGUAAUAAGAAAAGAUAGUCGAGCCCCGAAUUAACGAACCCGGAAUUAACGAAUUUCGUGAUUCAACGAAUUACUUUCAUGGUCCCGAUACGAAUUGAUUAAAAUUCCCUGAUUUAACGAAUAAAGAACCUUGAUUCAACGAACGCUCAAUGGAAUGUUUUUUAGAAAAAGAAUCGCAUAUUGGGGAAAAAUGUGUCAAAUCACUUCCAAGAAAACUACUGUAUGUAUUCAUUUAGACUUGAAUCAGUAUAAGUUUAGAAUCUGGGGCUGUAUUCUGGUCACUGUAUCUCUCAGAGACGAAAGACAUGACUACGUCAGUACAUACGUACUGUACUGCACUGUUUACUGUAUUGUACCUGUAUGUUCUUAAAAUUUUAAUUUAGUACAUCCAAAAUUUUAUUUUUGUAUAUUCAUUAGUUGUACAGUACAGUACAGUAUAAGAUUCAC